UACGUAUGGGGCUAGCGUUGUCCGGAAUCAUUGGGCGUAAAGCGCGUGUAGGCGGCCCGGUAAGUCCGCUGUGAAAGUCGGGGGCCCAACCCUCGGAUGCCGGUGGAUACUGUCGGGCUCGAGUACGGAAGAGGCGAGUGGAAUUCCUGGUGUAGCGGUGAAAUGCGCAGAUAUCAGGAGGAACACCAAUUGCGAAGGCAGCUCGCUGGGACGUAACUGACACUGAGGCGCGAAAGCGUGGGGAGCGAACAGG
rnacentral:rRNA from 1 species